rnacentral:rRNA from 1 species
CACGGGGGGAGCAAGCGUUGUUCGGAAUCACUGGGCGUAAAGGGCGUGCAGGCGGUCAGGUAAGUGGGAUGUGAAAUGCCCCGGCUCACCCGGGGACCGGCAUCUCAUACUGCUUGGCUUGAGUACGGGAGAGGAUGUGGGAAUUCCUGGUGUAGCGGUGAAAUGCGUAGAUAUCAGGAGGAACACCGGUGGCGAAGGCGCACAUCUGGCCCGAUACUGACGCUGAGGCGCGAAAGCUAGGGGAGCGAACAGG